AACAACAAAAUCAGACAGUUAAAUGG
rnacentral:guide_RNA from 1 species